rnacentral:rRNA from 1 species
AGGGUUUGAUCCCUGGCUCAGAUUGAACGCUGGCGGCAUGCUUUACACAUGCAAGUCGAACGGCAGCACGGGUGCUUGCACCUGGUGGCGAGUGGCGGACGGGUGAGUAAUACAUCGGAACGUGUCCUGAAGUGGGGGAUAACGCAUCGAAAGAUGUGCUAAUACCGCAUAUACUCUAAGGAGGAAAGUAGGGGAUCGAAAGACCUUAUGCUUUUGGAGCGGCCGAUGUCUGAUUAGCUAGUUGGUAAGGUAAUGGCUUACCAAGGCGACGAUCAGUAGUUGGUCUGAGAGGACGGCCAGCCACACUGGGACUGAGACACGGCCCAGACUCCUACGGGAGGCAGCAGUGGGGAAUUUUGGACAAUGGGCGCAAGCCUGAUCCAGCAAUGCCGCGUGAGUGAAGAAGGCCUUCGGGUUGUAAAGCUCUUUCAGUCGAGAAGAAAAG